rnacentral:rRNA from 1 species
UACGUAGGGUGCGAGCGUUGUCCGGAAUUACUGGGCGUAAAGAGCUCGUAGGUGGUUUGUCGCGUUGUUCGUGAAAACUCACAGCUCAACUGUGGGCGUGCGGGCGAUACGGGCAGACUGGAGUACUGCAGGGGAGACUGGAAUUCCUGGUGUAGCGGUGGAAUGCGCAGAUAUCAGGAGGAACACCGGUGGCGAAGGCGGGUCUCUGGGCAACAACUGACGCUGAGGAGCGAAAGCGUGGGGGAGCGAACAGG